GAUGAACGCUGGCGGCGUGCCUAAUACAUGCAAGUCGAGCGAACAGAUAAGGAGCUUGCUCCUUUGACGUUAGCGGCGGACGGGUGAGUUACACGUGGAUAACCUACCUAUAAGACUGGGAUAACUUCGGGAAACCGGAGCUAAUACCGGAUAACAUAUUGAACCGCAUGGUUCAAUAGUGAAAGGCGGCUUUGCUGUCACUUAUAGAUGGAUCCGCGCCGUAUUAGCUAGUUGGUAAGGUAACGGCUUACCAAGGCAACGAUACGUAGCCGACCUGAGAGGGUGAUCGGCCACACUGGAACUGAGACACGGUCCAGACUCCUACGGGAGGCAGCAGUAGGGAAUCUUCCGCAAUGGGCGAAAGCCUGACGGAGCAACGCCGCGUGAGUGAUGAAGGUCUUAGGAUCGUAAAACUCUGUUAUCAGGGAAGAACAAAUGUGUAAGUAACUGUGCACAUCUUGACGGUACCUGAUCAGAAAGCCACGGCUAACUACGUG
rnacentral:rRNA from 1 species